UACGUAGGGAGCUAGCGUUGUUCGGAAUUACUGGGCGUAAAGCGCACGUAGGCGGCUUUGUAAGUUAGAGGUGAAAGCCCGGAGCUCAACUCCGGAAUUGCCUUUAAGACUGCAUCGCUUGAAUCCAGGAGAGGUGAGUGGAAUUCCGAGUGUAGAGGUGAAAUUCGUAGAUAUCGGGAGGAACACCAGUGGCGAAGGCGGCGAUCUGGGAAGAUACUGACGCUGAGGUGCGAAAGCGUGGGGAGCAAACAGG
rnacentral:rRNA from 1 species